GCUCUGGUGGCCUAGUGGUUAGAGCAUCUGCCUCAGAUGCAGUAGGUCAAGGGUUAGAUCCCUGGUUGAGUCA